AGUGGCGAACGGGUGAGUAACACGUGAGCAAUCUGCCCCUGACUCUGGGAUAAGCGCUGGAAACGGCGUCUAAUACCGGAUAGUCAGGGAUGAGCUCGCGGCCUAUCAGCUAGUUGGUGAGGUAAUGGUCACCAAGGCGCGACGGGUAGCCGGCCUGAGAGGGUGACCGGCCACACUGGGACUGAGACACGGCCCAGACUCCUACGGGAGGCAGCAGUGGGGAAUAUUGCACAAUGGGCGCAAGCCUGAUGCAGCAACGCCGCGUGAGGGACGACGGCCUUCGGGUUGUAAACCUCUUUUAGCAGGGAAGCGGUACCUGCAGAAAAAGCACCGGCUAACUACGUGCCAGCAGCCGCGGUAAUACGUAGGGUGCAAGCGUUAUCCGGAAUUAUUGGGCGUAAAGAGCUCGUAGCGGUUUGUCGCGCCUGCUGUGAAACUGGGGGCUCAACCCCCAGCCUGCAGCGGGUACGGGCAGACUAGAGUGCGGUAGGGGAGAUUGGAAUUCCUGGUGUAGCGGUGGAAUGCGCAGAUAUCAGAGGAACACCGAUGGC
rnacentral:rRNA from 1 species